rnacentral:rRNA from 1 species
CAGUAGCCACGGGAAUACAGAGGGUGCGAGCGUUAAUAGGAUUUACUGGGCGUAAAGCGUGCGUAGGCGGCUUCUUAAGUCGGAUGUGAAAUCCCUGAGCUUAACUUAGGAAUUGCAUUCGAUACUGGGAAGCUAGAGUAUGGGAGAGGAUGGUAGAAUUCCAGGUGUAGCGGUGAAAUGCGUAGAGAUCUGGAGGAAUACCGAUGGCGAAGGCAGCCAUCUGGCCUAAUACUGACGCUGAGGUACGAAAGCAUGGGGAGCAAACAGGAUUAGAUACCCCAGUAGUCCCUGUCUCUUAUAA